rnacentral:lncRNA from 1 species
GUGAGUGAGAGUGUUGGAGGUGGGCAGGAUCUUCCCAAGCCUGCUCAGCCUCACUUACCUCAUCCCUUCCUCAGCUAGAGCAGGGUCUGUGCAGUGGUGAGCAGGUAGAGCCUCUGGAAGGCCCAGCAGGCAGCAUCCUUGAGUGUCUGGUGCUCGACUCUGGAGAACUGGUGCCGGAACUUGCAGCCCCCGUCUUCUACCUGUUGGGAGCACUGGCUGGUAAGCAGCCCAUGGAGGGGACAGGAAGGAAGGACUGGGUUCUAUAUUGGGCAUUCUGGAACCCUCUCUCAGCCCAGAUCUCCCCCCAGGGUUGAGUGAAACCCAGCAGCAGCUACUGGCUACUAAGGCUCUGGAGGCAACGGUGCUGUCAAAGGAGCUAGAGUUGGUGAGAGGACAUGGCAUUGGGGGAUGCGAUGGGGCCCUGGGUACAGCGAGGAAGGUUGACACAGGCAGGCGUUGCAUCCCUCAGGCUCAAACUACAGGCCGCAUCUAUAACCUCUUACACUCUUCUGUUGGUAGGUGAAGCACGUCUUGGAACAGAGCACCCCAUGGCAGGAGCAGAGAUCUGUGCCCCUGCCCUCCAGGCUCCUUGGGGACAGCUGGGAUGAGGAGGCUCUCACCUGGGUCUUGCUAGAAGAAUGUGGCCUAACGCUGCAGGUGGAACCCCCCCAGGUAUACUGGGAACCAACAUCUCAGGGCCCCAUAUGUGCACUCUAUGCCUCCCUGG